rnacentral:rRNA from 1 species
GACGAACGCUGGCGGCGUGCCUAAUACAUGCAAGUAGGACGCAGUUGCGAACGGGUGAGUAACGCGUAGGUAACUACCUAUUAGAGGGGGAUAACUAUUGGAAACGAUAGCUAAUACCGCAUACUAGUAGAUGGACCUGCGUUGUAUUAGCUAGUAGGUAGGGUAAUGGCCUACCUAGGCAACGAUACAUAGCCGGCCGGGGGAGGUGAUCGGGCACACUGGGACUGGGGAACGGCCCCGACUCCUACGGGAGGCAGCAGUAGGGGAACUUCGGGAAAGGGGGGAAACCUGACCGAGCAACGCCGCGUGAGUGAAGAAGGUUUUCGGAUCGGAAAGCUCUGUUGUUAAGGAAGCGGUACUUAACCAGAAAGGGACGGCUAACUACGUGCCAGCAGCCGCGGUAAUUC